GCAGAAAAAAAUUUCUUCAUCUGUCUGAGAAAAGGAAAAGCCAGAGUUUUGGCCACCGGAGACAGAAAUCAAGAAAGAAACUCCUGGAUCUGACUGCACUGCCAUAGGAACUACGGUUGUGGUCCCACAUUGGAUUCAAAUUCAGGUCUAAAGUCAAAACAAGGAAGGGUUUGAUGCAACACAAGAGGAAGGAAUGGGAAGCCAAUGCAAGAUUUUUCUUUCCAGCAUGUUUCGUGCAGUCUCAGAAAUGCCUUUUGACAGCACCUCAUGUGUUGAAGAGGAAUUCUUCAAUGUGAAAUCAGCAAGGAGGUCUCUGUAGACGCUGGUUGGCAUAUGGUAUCUCAAAUUUCUCGGUGACAAGUGGUAUGUUAGCAGAGCAACAGAGUAGCAGGGAAAAAGACGUUUUGCUAAUCACUCCCUGUUGCCCACACCCUCAGGCAGAAUCAUAUUGCUUUAUGCAGAUGAGCUCAUAACAGUUUCUUCAAUUUAGCUUUUAUAUAAAAAAGUGCCAGCUCCUAACGCUAUGUCAACAGGCACCCGAGGGCCUUCCACUUUACAUUGCAAGUGUAUUACUAUUUAAAGAUGAGCUUUUAGCUUAACAUCAUUGCUUGCCUUCAGAGUUUAAUUACCGCCCUCCCCAUGAGGCCCAAUGAGCCAUCCACUCCUCCCACGGGAGUUCUGCUUGGCAAUGAUCUUUAACUAAAUAAGUAAAUGCCAAAUAAGCACUUC